ACUUCCUGUCGGGAAUACAGAAGAAAGAAUGCGUGAAUUUAGAAAAUCCGCAGACAUCCAGAAGAGCAGCUUUCUGAAACCUCCCUGCGAGUACACCUCUCACUUGUGCUCUGUCUCUCAGGUGUGCGCCAUCGUGCUGGAGUGAAGUCCGAAAAGACAAGAACUGAAGCCAAGAAGAGCACGAAAUUGAAAUGUUGUUUUAAUCCUGGGGUUAUCCGGAAUUGGGUGACCUUGAGCGAAUUAUUCAACCUCUGAGUACUCCGUGUCCACAUAUCGCAGGAGCUAUGUAUUUGUCUUGUUGUUGUUCUUGUUUAAAUGGUUUUCCCCCAUUUAACUCGCAAACUAACCCACCGAGGUAGACUCUGGGAAUGGAAAGAUAAGCUGAGUUCAGGAUUUAUCUGGUCUCCUUUUAAGUCCUUUCAUUACUUACUGUGCCACCUCGUCUAAAUUAAAUUCAUUGCUCCACCUGCCUCAUGCAAAACGAUGGAUAAUCGCCUAAUUUUGACCUGUUGUGGGAUUAAAUAGGACCUAUAACCUAGACCUAACUUUUUUUUAUCAUUAAGCGUUAUCAUUCCUAGAAAGGAGUUUAAUAUUCAAUGGCUCAUCUGUAUUGUAAUUUAGUCUAUUACUGGAAAAAUGUUUCCUCCCUCUCACCCCUUUUAUAAUUCAGUGUUAGUGUGAAAAUCACUUGGGACAUCUGUUCCUAUUGUACUAGGAGUGGAAUUGCUACAUCUAAGAGUAUGUACAUUUUUAAAGAAUUACUAUUUUAAAUGCCUACUUUUAAAUUAUCAGUUCAAAUACAGUAGUUUUGUUUAUUUCUUCUAUUUACCUUUAUUACUGUUAUUCCCAAAUUGUUUGUUAUGGCUGUAGUUUUGAGGAAAGGACUACUGUGACAGUAUGGUUGAGGAUCUGGCUGAAGAAUACCUCCUUAGCCAACUUAAGUUUUAAGAGAUAAUCUCUUAGAGAUGACGGUGAUCUGCACACAUUGAAGAUUCCCACCUCCACAUCAUUUUCCAGUUUUGUAGUUCUAUGUGCAGAGAAGAGAAGGCUGUGUAUGACAUACAGUGUAGCAGAGUGGCGGAGGGUGUGAGAUUUUACCAGCUAUUCAGAACACUGCAACCUAAGACAUUAGUCUAGAAUUUUCCAUUUAAAGUUUGUAGAACACAAGUGAAGCUAGGAGAGCUACGUGCAGAUAAUCUAAGCCACGAAAAGCAAAACUGAUGAUUGAAAAGUUGUAAUUAAAUAAGUUGUCAUUAAAUGUGCCACGGUAGAAAUAAGUUAGAAUUAUACAUAUGUAAAACAAAAUAUAAAAUAGGUUAUCUAUCACAAAUGUUAAUAUGUGUUAAGUAAUAGUUUUCAGGUAACGUCUAAUUUUUAGGGCACUCGUGUGCUAAUAAAUUUUUAAUGAGCAUAUUUUAAAAACAAA
rnacentral:lncRNA from 1 species